CUAACGCUCUUGCUUUGUUCGUGUUUUUUUACGUGAAAUCGUUCGUUUAUUUUUUAUUUAUUAAUGUUUAGUUUUUAUUUCACUUUAAUGGAAGAAGGUUUCGUCAAAGGACAAAGUCAUAAUUUGCCUAAUAUUGAUAUAUACACAGUGAUGAACUUUUUUUCUUCAAAUCCGUUUUAUGUUAGUGCUGAAAUAAAAGGAGUUAAACUUUUGAAGUAAACUUCUUGAAGACAGAGUCAGAGCACAAAUAGAAACUAUCAAAAAAGUCAAAAUUGGAAAGUACGGUAUUUUGUGUCAAAGUCUCCUGACGGCAUAACAGAAUAGCAUAAUAUUGAAAUUAAAUGUCCACUAACUGAAACUAUGAAAAAAUACAUCAAUAAUGCAAAAUUGACAGCAAAAAGUGAAGCACAACUACAAAUGCACUUCGCGAAUAAAUCAAAAGAAUUUUUUGCAUUGCUCAUGCAGAUUUUGAGACACCUCAACAAGUUGAUGUUUAUGAUUUUUUUAUAAUUCAGAUUAUUGUAUAAAAAUAAUUGAUGAAUGUACUUUAUUCUGGAAGCAUAUUUCUGACGUAAUAAUUAAAUAAAACUCAAUCAUCUUUGA